AGAGAGAGACAUGCGCGCAUAUCAAUAAGCGGAGGAAAAGAAACUAACAAGGAUUCCCUUAGUAACGGCGAGUGAAGCGGGAAGAGCUCAAAUUUGAAAUCUUCAAGGUUUUACCUUGACGAAUUGUAGUUUAAAGAAGUGUUUUCUGCUGAAGUUUUGGUAAAAGUUCUUUGGAAUAGGACAUCAUAGAGGGUGAGAAUCCCGUAUUUGACCAUUAUUUUCAGCUUUGUGAUACACUUUCAAAGAGUCGGAUUGUUUGGGAAUGCAGUCCAAAAUGGGUGGUAAAUUUCAUCUAAAGCUAAAUAUUGGCGAGAGACCGAUAGCGAACAAGUACCGUGAGGGAAGGAUGAAAAGAACUUUGAAAAGAGAGUUAAACAGUACGUGAAAUUGUCAAAAGGGAAGCGUUUGACACCAGUGUUGUUUUCCCUCGAAAAUCAAUUAAAAAUGGCUCGAUUUUGUAUUGUUGAGACCUUAAAAGCUCACUGUACAUUUUUCGUGUCUUUUUUUAAUGCACUUUUCGUUUAACAAGUCAACAUCAGUUUCUUUUGUUGUAAAAGGGUCAUUGGAAGGUGGCUUCCUUUUCGGAGAAAGUGUUUAUAGCCUUUGGCCUCUGCAAUCGGAGAGACUGAGGUCUGCAGCGUAGACUCUUCGGGGUUAGAUACAUUUGUGCUAAGUUAUAGCCUUUUUAUAGACAACUUGUUGACUAUAAUUAGUCUUGUAGCUUACUCGCUUAUGCUAUUUUACCUACGCUUAGGAUGUUGAAGAUGUAGCACAUCAU
rnacentral:rRNA from 1 species